AGUGAACGCUGGCGGUAGGCCUAACACAUGCAAGUCGAACGAGUGGCGGACGGGUGAGGAAUACAUCGGAAUCUACUCUGUCGUGGGGGAUAACUACUGGAAACGGUAGCUAAUACCGCAUACCAUCGGAUGUGCCCAGAUGGGAUUAGCUUGUUGGUGGGGUAACGGCUCACCAAGGCGACGAUCCCUAGCUGGUCUGAGAGGAUGACCAGCCACACUGGAACUGAGACACGGUCCAGACUCCUACGGGAGGCAGCAGUGGGGAAUAUUGCACAAUGGGCGCAAGCCUGAUGCAGCCAUGCCGCGUGUAUGAAGAAGGCCUUCGGGUUGUAAAGCCCUUUUGUUGGGAAAGCGGUACCCAAAGAAUAAGCACCGGCUAACUUCGUGCCAGCAGCCGCGGUAAUUC
rnacentral:rRNA from 1 species